AUACACCUGACUCUGGGGAUCUUGUGAACAUGCAGAUUCUGAUGCAGGAUGUCUGGGUGGGACCAGAGAGUCUGCAUUUCUUACCAGAUAACAGGUGAUGCCAAA
rnacentral:pre_miRNA from 1 species